GUGAAAUUGAUGAAAGGGAAACGAUUAAAGUCAGUCGUACUGACGGGGAAUCAACCUUUCGAAUGUGAUAACGUGGGGAUUCAAAGAGCCUUUGUUUCUCCCGGCAUUCGUGUUCUUUUGGUGCACUUUCUCGUGUUUGUAGGUUAGCAUCGGUUUCGACCGUUAUAAAAUGAUCGGAGGGAUGUAGCUUCGAUUUCGAUUGAAGUGUUAUAACCUUUGGUAGAUGUAACUGUCGGGACCGAGGAUUGCAACGGAUACCCUAACGGGCUAUUCGUCUGGCCUCUGAUACGACACUUCGGCGUCGAAAGCUUGCUUACGAUGUUGAAGCGUUCGGUCAAAAGGUUAGAACGGAUUAAAUUCGUUAAGGAUGCUGACGUAAUGGCUUUAAACGACCCGUCUUGAAACACGGACCAAGGAGUCUAACAUAUAUGCGAGUGUUUGGGCGUAGAAACCCUUACGCGUAAUGAAAGUAAUUCAGGUGGGAUCCGUUUUUUUCGCGGAGCACCAUCGACCGAUCAGGAUAUUUUUUGAUAGAUUUGAGUGAGAGCAUAUCUGUUGGGACCCGAAAGAUGGUGAACUAUGCCUGAAUAGGGUGAAGUCAGAGGAAACUCUGAUGGAGGCUCGUAGCGGUUCUGACGUGCAAAUCGAUCGUCAAAUUUGGGUAUAGGGGCGAAAGACUAAUCGAACCAUCUAGUAGCUGGUUCCUGCCGAAGUUUCCCUCAGGAUAGCAGAAACUCAUUAACAGUUUUAUGAGGUAAAGCGAAUGAUUAGAGGCCU
rnacentral:rRNA from 1 species